ensembl:lncRNA
GGGCGCUCGGUCGGGCCGCGGGCGCUGCGUUGCGUUGCGUUGCGUUGCGGAGGUCGGACGCCGAGCGAAGCGAGCCGCCGGGCGGCUGCGGGCAAACGUGGCCGAAUACGUGCAACGUAAACACGGACGGUUCCCUUUGUGAUGUUAAAGCGCUCCCUUUCUGCACCUCAGCUCCCCGCUCGGAGCGUCGCGCGGUGGUUACACCGAGGCGGGGGGCGGUCCCGUUUCGGACGCGGGGUUCUCAGUCGGCGGGUGGAAACGUGAAUUUCCGAGCUCGGCUCCCGGCUGCGCUCGGGCGGAGCGGGAGAGGAAAUCCCGGCGCCCGCAGGAUGGGGCCCGCGGUUCCGAGGCGCUCCCCACGUGCGUCCGCUUUAGGCCUCGCGGCACCGCCAGGGCGAACGGCUCCGUUGGGCGCACGCUGCGCUGCCGGCGCGCCGCUCCGACGCUUCGGCGUAGCGAUGAGCGCCGCUGCGACGACGGACGGAGCGCCGAGCCCGGCGGACGGCAUUCCGCGGAUUUGCGUUUUGCCAGGAAGCGGCGAGGCGUGACGGCGGCAAGGUGGGCUCCGGGGCGGCCGUCCUCCGUCCCGUGGCACCGCUGUCACAUAGAGACACGACGCAGAAGAAAAGACAUAAAAUGGAGGAGAAGAAAAACCAUAAAAUGGAGGAGAGGACAAAGCUCAGAGCUGCGGGUUUACGAAGGAAAGUUGCCGAAGAAUGACGGGAUGUGGCUGAUAAGAGGGACCCAUAUUUAGGCAACGUGAAGAUUGUGACAGCGUCAGCUACAGUGAGGGAAUGCAGAUGUAAAAUCAAAACAUCUGUUACGGUAACUUCAGCUCACCCUGUUAUUCCUGGAUGUUGCGGUGUCAUAACUCACAUUCCUGCAUCGUCCUGUCGUAAG